rnacentral:rRNA from 1 species
UACAGAGGGUGCAAGCGUUAAUCGGAAUUACUGGGCGUAAAGCGUGCGUAGACGGUUGCGUAAGUCAGAUGUGAAAGCCCCCGGGCUCAACCUGGGAAUUGCAUUUGAGACUGCGUAGCUAGGGUGCGGAAGAGGGAAGCGGAAUUUCCGGUGUAGCGGUGAAAUGCGUAGAUAUCGGAAGGAACACCAGUGGCGAAAGCGGCUUCCUGGUCCAGCACCGACGUUCAGGCACGAAAGCGUGGGGAGCAAACAGG